rnacentral:rRNA from 1 species
CCUACGGGUGGCAGCAGUGGGGAAUAUUGCACAAUGGGGGAAACCCUGAUGCAGCGACGCCGCGUGAGUGAAGAAGUAUCUCGGUACGUAAAGCUCUAUCAGCAGGGAAGAUAAUGACGGUACCUGACCAAGAAGCCCCGGCUAACUACGUGCCAGCAGCCGCGGUAAUACGUAGGGGGCAAGCGUUAUCCGGAUUUACUGGGUGUAAAGGGCGUGUAGGCGGGAUGGCAAGUCAGGCAUGAAAACUAUGGGCUCAACCCAUAGCCUGCGUUUGAAACUGUCGUUCUUGAGUGAUGGAGAGGCAAGCGGAAUUCCGUGUGUAGCGGUGAAAUGCGUAGAUAUACGGAGGAACACCAGUGGCGAAGGCGGCUUGCUGGACAUUAACUGACGCUGAGGCGCGAAAGCGUGGGGAGCAAACAGGAUUAGAUACCCCAGUAGUC